UAAGCAAACAAACAAACAAGUGUAGCCAUCCUUCCGGCCGCGUAGUUCCUUCACACGGAUGCGAGUCCUUGCUGUUGGGCACCAUCUGUGGUCGCGUGGGACACACCCAGAAAAAAACAGGAGAAACGCAUUCCGCGCGGUCUGUUUCAGAUUAUCGGUCAGGAACAAAUAGUUUGGCACCGGUACCGGAAGGGUUUGUUUGGUCCGGGCUCGGGUUGGUGAGUUGAUUAUCGCAUCGCUGAAGUGUGACUUUUCGGUGUGGCCAAACAGCCGAUCUUCGAAGCUUACCAGGAAGGAAUGUUAUGGUUAGUCACAUCUUUACUUUCUAAGUCGUUUUGGUGAUUAUCGGCCGGGGGUUUCCCUAAGCUUUCAUCUGCGGCAUUCUUAUUCCACCAUCUCGCUCAGCUCCGCGCGCUAAGGGUGAACCGGCGGGCCGAAGAUUUCUAAUUCAAUUUCUCAUUCCUCAUGAAGGCUUUCCACGGCUUUCCAUCGGGGCAUCCAACGUUCGGCAGCAGCUGCGAGCUCCGAUCCGAGUUGUAAUCCAUCUUAAUCUCACCAGCAUCGGUCGGACAUGACGAUCCCCAACGCGCAGGGAGACCACUUGGUCCGCACCUGGAUUACCUGGUACGAUCAGGCCGGAACGGUGGGAUUGGUGCGUGUAACACUUGGAACCGGGAGACUCCGGGGCCCGCGUCUAGUCGAAUCGAAUGAAAUGGAACCGUGAUAAGUGGUCGAACAGAGAGAUAGAGGGAGAGAGAGAAGGACAGAGACACACAGAGACAGAGCGACAGCGUGUUUCCAGAACUCCUGCCACACCAGCGACUCGUGGGAAGUGGAGAAUGGCCGGACAACAAUGGGAUGGACGAUAGGAUUAUUAACUCAUUACCCGUAUUGUGUGGCAAAUAUUUAUACAUCGCGCAUAAUCCGAUUAGGCCGAGCGUUAAAUUGUCAAAUAAUCGAUUCGUCGUCACUUGGUUGCGCCGCCAGCACACGGUGGAGAUCACGACUGCGGACGAACACGCUUCUCUGCUUCACACCCCAAGGGGAAGACUUUGGGGGACUUUGAGAGUUUUGAGUUUUGCGUCACGACCCGUCGCCUAAUGAUUGUGUUUUUGGGGGGUUUGGUGAAGCGACGUCCGUGUUCGUUUGGUUUAUUGUUGAACGGGGAUAAAGUUUUAUUUAGUUAAUAAAGCCAUUGGC